AUUGAACGCUGGCGGCAGGCCUAACACAUGCAAGUCGAGCGAGCGGCGGACGGGUGAGUAAUGUAUGGGGACUGCCCGAUAGAGGGGGAUAACUACUGGAAACGGUGGCUAAUACCGCAUACUAUCGGAUAACCCAUAUGGGAUUAGCUAGUAGGUGGGGUAAAGGCUCACCUAGGCGACGAUCUCUAGCUGGUCGGAGAGGAUGAUUCGCAACACGGGGACUGAGACACGGCCCGGACGCCUACGGAGGCAGCAGUGGGGAAUAUUGCACAAGGGGCGCAAGCCUGAUGCAGCCAUGCCGCGUGUAUGAAGAAGGCCUUAGGGUUGUAAAGUACUUUCAGCGGGGAGGCGUUACCCGAAGAAUAAGCACCGGCUAACUCCGUGCCAGCCGCCGCGGUAAUAC
rnacentral:rRNA from 1 species